UUAAAUUGAAGAGUUUGAUCAUGGCUCAGAUUGAACGCUGGCGGUAGGCCUAACACAUGCAAGUCGAACGGUAACAGGAAGCAGCUUGCUGCUU
rnacentral:rRNA from 1 species